CACCGCGGUUAUACGAGAGGCCCAAGUCGACAGCCUGCGGCGUAAAGAGUGGUUAAGCGCCCCCCCCAACUAAAGCCAAACGCCCCCAAAGCCGUUAUACGCACUCCGAAGGGCAGAGGAUUCUCCACGAAGGUGGCUUUAAACCAGCUGAACCCACGAAACCUAUAGAA
rnacentral:rRNA from 1 species